UACAGAGGUCCCAAGCGUUGUUCGGAUUCACUGGGCGUAAAGGGUGCGUAGGUGGUCAGGUAAGUCGGAUGUGAAAUCUCCGAGCUCAACUCGGAAACUGCAUUGGAAACUACCUGGCUCGAGGGUUGGAGGGGGGACUGGAAUGCUUGGUGUAGCAGUGAAAUGCGUAGAUAUCAGGAGGAACACCUAUUGCGAAGGCAGCUCGCUGGGACGUAACUGACGCUGAGACGCGAAAGCGUGGGGAGCAAACAGG
rnacentral:rRNA from 1 species